UACGUAGGGGGCAAGCGUUGUCCGGAUUUAUUGGGCGUAAAGAGCGUGUAGGCGGCCAGGUAGGUCAGCUGUGAAAACUCGAGGCUCAACCUCGAGACGUCGGUUGAAACCACCUGGCUAGAGUCCGGAAGAGGAGAGUGGAAUUCCUGGUGUAGCGGUGAAAUGCGCAGAUAUCAGGGAGAACACCCGUGGCGAAGGCGGCUCUCUGGGACGGUACUGACGCUGAGACGCGAAAGCGUGGGGAGCGAACAGG
rnacentral:rRNA from 1 species